ensembl:lncRNA
CUUACCUCGUGCCAGAGAGAAAAGUAUAUUCACCAUCAUCAACAUUUACAGGCCACCUCAUCCAGGCCACGAGCAUUUCUCCCUGCUCCAUCACACCUGAUACUCCUGAGAUUAGGGUAAGUGGUAUUGUGCCCCUUUUGCAGGUGGAGAAACUGAGGCCCAGGGAAGGCCAGUGGCUUCCCCAGGGACCCUUGGCAAGCAUCAGUUGAAGACAGGCAGCCUGGAGUUCAGAGCCCACUGACACGACAAGAAAAUCUGGACACAGAGAUGGAUGCUCAGGAAAGAAGGCCCAUGAUGACGAGGCAGAGACUGGAGCGACACAGCCACAUGCCAAGCAACGCUGAGGAUUAAACCAAGCAGUGCCUUUUAGAGUGGAGGACAAGUCAGCACUUAGUCGUCGCCUGCUCCUGGCCGGUCCCUGUACACCUGCUUGGAUGGCAGUCUUACAUCAUCUUUUAUGAGUACAGCAACUUAUUUGCAAUUAAGUUUAGAUUGUCUAAUAAAAUCUGGUGAUAUUUUAGCUUACAGUUUAUGUCCCAGUAAAAGGCUCCAAAUGUUAUUGCCAUAAGAAUCCAUGUGACAACCCUACAUAAACCUUUUAUUUCAG